rnacentral:rRNA from 1 species
CAAUAGCGUAUAUUAAAGUUGUUGCAGUUAAAAGCUCGUAGUUGGAUUUCUGGGAGGGUGCCAAUGUCCGUCGUCGUACGUGUUGCAGCGGCGCCCUUCCAUCCUUCUGUUAACGACUUUGGGCAUUCAUUUGCCGGAGUCGGGCUCAGAUAUUUUACCUUGAGAAAAUUAGAGUGUUUCAGGCAGGCUAGGCCGGAAUACAUUAGCAUGGAAUAAUGGAAUAGGACUACGGUCUCUUUGUUGGUUUGAGGGACUGCAGUAAUGAUUGAUAGGGAUAGUUGGGGGUGCUAGUAUUGGCCGGCCAGAGGUGAAAUUCUUGGAUUCGGUCAAGACUAACUUAUGCGAAAGCAUUCACCAAGGAUGUCUUCUUUAAUCAAGAACGAAAGUUGGGGGAGUCGAAGAUGAUCAGAUACCAU